rnacentral:rRNA from 1 species
UACGGGGGGAGCAAGCGUUGUUCGGAUUUACUGGGCGUAAAGGGCGCGUAGGCGGCCAGCACAAGUCAGUUGUGAAAUCUCCGAGCUUAACUCGGAAAGGUCAACUGAUACUGUGCGGCUAGAGUGCGGAAGGGGCAACUGGAAUUCUUGGUGUAGCGGUGAAAUGCGUAGAUAUCGUAAGGAAGACCAGUGGCGAAGGCGGGUCUCUGGACAGUUCCUGACGCUGAGACACGAAGGUCAGGGGAGCAAACGGG